UCUGUUUGUCUGCAGCUUUUUGUUGGAAGCUUCUAAAAAUACUCUCUUUCCUUGCCUUGAGCUGACUCUCCAGCAUUUCUUUGUUGUGCCUUCCUUGCAGCAGCUUUCUGCUCCCAUGGACACGUGGACAUCUAACACACAUCCAGCCUCUGUGCUUUGUGAGGUACUUCUGGCUGUGAGCCUGCUCUGUGCCUGAGGUUGGCUUUCUGACUCCUGCUGCAGGGUGAUGAUCCUGGUGAGGAGCUCUGCAGGGCAGUUCUGGGUUUGCUGGAGAGCUUUGUGUGGGAGUUUAAAGCUGCUUUCACAGCUUUGGUAAUGGGACUGUGUGGGAGGUACUGCCAAAAGAGAUGAGAAAUCUGCACCCAGAGCUAUCUCUGAAGGAUUGGAAGGAGUGCCCCAGAAGAUGUGAGCUUGUGGAGCUGAAGGUUCACGUGCCAUGUGACAGUGUGGAAGGGAGCGACCCUCAGCAUGUUUGAAUCUCUUACAGCCUAAUGUGUUGUACAGGAAAGCACUCUGAAGAAGUUAGAAGCACAAUAUAUAAAACCAGAGAGCACUGUUUCUAGGCAGUAUGAAACAGCAUUCACAAGCCUUGUCUCAUGGUUUGUGUGAAGGUUUAGUGCACAUCUUAAUCUGUGGUGCUGACAGUGCUGUUUUAGACAUUUGCAUCUCCUUGUUUUGAUAGUGAGCACAUCCUGGAGUAGGGGUCAUUUUUUCUCCACAGAAACAACACUUUCUCCAACAAAAGACUUCUGGAUGCAUGUUUAUAAAAGGCAUUUUCUGUGGUGGACGUCUUCAGUGAGUGUAUUCUUUUUGAAGUUAUCAAGCAUUCUGAUUGUCAGAUGUCUUUCCUGAAAUGCCUGGGACACAACAAAAUUCCUUAUGAAAUGAGCACGAAGGGAAUAUGUUAGCCUGCCUUACUGGAGGCCACUGUCCAUCGUUCCUGCACAGUCCUGAACCUGCUUAUUCCAGUCCUCCUGCAUGGCAAUGCAAUUUACAAUCUGUAAAGGAGACUUCUGGGGCUGCAUUGCACCUGCCUGUCAAUCACAGUUCAGAUCUCACUGAAAUACUUACAUUUGGGUGCCAAAAGCCAGAGAUUUCCGAAAUCAUUGCUUCAUUCUGACAACUGAGUACCCCAGAUUUGCGCCUAGGACUCAUGGAAGGUGUCUUACCCUGCCUGUGUUAAUGCCUCUGACAUUACUGAGAAUAUUCCAGAAGUGACACAGACAGAAUAGUCCUGAGCACCAGAUAACAGAUCCAUGGGAAGAGUGCCAAGACACAAAGGGAUGUGUUCUUUACUGGAGAAGAUGCACAGGACCAAUUGGAGUUCUAAUGGUCUGGUAUUGAUCUGGAAGUCCUUGUUCAAAAUCCCUUCAGACACAACCUUUGCGGUCUGCUGACAACGCAGCCCCUCCGAGGGCAGGAAUGAGCGUUACAGAAGCAGAGCAUGCAAAUAUCAUCUGCAAUUUCUCCAGCGUCCUGCAGCCCUGGCUUCAGGCUCCACCUAGGAAUCGAGCAUCCACCACCCAGAUGUUCAGCCUCAGUUGGCUGCUAGGGAUAUUGCCUUUAAGCAAUUGCUUGCAAAGUUUGGAGAAUCAAGGUUUAAUGUGUUCCCAGAAGCUUGCACACUGUCCUGCAGGAUAUUUUUGCAAUAUUGCUAUGCCAAGGGAACAUGUUAACAAAUACAUCUGGGGUUUUUUGUUUUUAGGUAAUUUCUUCUGUCUGUUCUUUCCCUUUUGAAAGAGAAAUGAACUCUGUGCAUGUUUGCAGGUUUCUGCCAGCAAGAGAACCUUUUGAAAGUGAGUGGACAGGAGCUGCACAAACAUUAAAAUACACUGCUCUCCAUCAAAGUUAAGAACCUGUAUCUAAACUUGGCCAGUGUGCAGUAAUCAAUAUCCUUUCACUGCAUAUGGUGUUCCUCUGAAGUUUAAGUGCUAAUGGUGCCAUUUAGCAAGCACACCCAUCUUUGUGUGAAAACCCUUUCCUUGAAGAACCCAGCAAAGGCGUGUACACUGAAGUCAAGGGUACAUCAACAGGCAAGCAUAUUAAAAAAUA